rnacentral:misc_RNA from 1 species
ACGGUGCGUGUGUUUCUCCCCUUCUCGGUGAGCGCGCCACGCUUCCCACCUCUUUUUUUUUGCUUGCCUCCCUUUUUUUGCCGUGUUACAACGCCCGCGUCCCCAAACGCCUCCGUUCGCUGCUUCCGCUUGUCUGUAUUUGCGGCCCGCUUUCGUCCCCUCCUUGUUCCACCUCUUGCCUAGCUCAUUUCUCAUGCGCGCGUCCUGCGAAGUAGUUAUUGGGCGAGGGGGAAGAGGAAGGUUGUAUUUUGCCUCUCUUUUCUGCGCGCUUCUUCGGGUCUCGCUGCCGACCCGUGGAUGCCCGGCGUCGCACUCCGCUUUCUGGCUCGUGUUCGUGCUGAAACCAAUGGUGGGGUGCUAACGACCGCGUCGGCACGCUCUGGGCGACAAACACACACACACACACACACACACACGGUCUGGCGUAAGUGUGCGUCGUGGCGCGAUCUGCACCGGCUUGUGCGUGUGCGUCUUCGAUGGCGUUCUUUUAUGCAUCUUUCUCUACCCCUCUGCCGCGUGCGCAUUUGGGCACAAGGGCCACCCGCGCUCCCCUCUUUCUGCUCCGCUGUCGCUUCUUGUCCAAUAG